AUAAGCGAAUAGUGAAUCUGGUGGCUCAACCGUUCAGGCUAUUAUUCGAACUCAUACACUCGAGAAUGGUAGAGGUAACUGGAAUUUCUAGUGUAGGAGUGAAAUCCGUAGAUAUUAGAAGGAACACCAAUGGCGUAGGCAGGUUACUGGACCAUUUCUGACACUGAGGCACGAAAGCGUGGGGAGCAAACCGGAUUAGAUACCCGGGUAGUCCACGCCGUAAACGAUGGAUACUA
rnacentral:rRNA from 1 species